rnacentral:rRNA from 1 species
UACGUAGGGCGCAAGCGUUAUCCGGAAUUAUUGGGCGGAAAGAGCUCGUAGGCGGUUUGUCGCGUCUGCCGUGAAAGUCCGGGGCUCAACUCCGGAUCUGCGGUGGGUACGGGCAGACUAGAGUGAUGUAGGGGAGACUGGAAUUCCUGGUGUAGCGGUGAAAUGCGCAGAUAUCAGGAGGAACACCGGUGGCGAAGGCGCUGCUCUGGGCCGGUACUGACGCUGAGGAGCGAAAGCGUGGGUAGCAAACAGG